GUCCAUUUACAUAAUAGAAGGAUGGAGUGGGCGUCACGAGCGACAAAGGUAUAAAGCGACCAACUCACCAAACACAAGCAUAGGCCACCCGACAUCUCCAGGCCACCCCAUACCUCUCGGGUUGUGUAUGUCCUCGUACAAUCGAAGGAAAGAAGUAUGAUUUGUUGGCAAGCAUUUUCCACCUUGGCCUUGCUCCUGCUGCUGCGGCUGGGGGCUGAUGCCCAGGACAAGCUGCCCCCACCCAGGUACAGACAGAGAGACGAUGACAUAGCGGAGCUCCGCAAGUUUGUCAACCCCAGUUGUAUCUGGGUGGAGCUGCCAGACAACAAGAAGUAUGCUCAGUUGGUGGCCUUCUUCCCCA